rnacentral:rRNA from 1 species
CCUACGUGUGGCAGCAGUGAGGAAUAUUGGUCAAUGUGCGGAAGCCUGAACCAGCCAAGUAGCGUUCAGGAUGACGGCCCUACGGGUUGUCAACUGCUUUUAUACGGGAAUAACGCGCCUUACGUGUAGGUCUUUGCAUGUACCUUAUGAAUAAGGACCGGCUAAUUCCGUGCCAGCUGCCGCGGUAAUACAGAAGGUCCGGGCGUUAUCCGGAUUUAUUGUGUUUAACGGGAGCGUAGGCCGCAUGUCAAGCGUGCUGUGAAAUGUCCGGGCUCAACCCGGGCCUUGCAGCGCGAACUGGCGUGCUUGAGUCCGCGGAAAGCAGGCGGAAUUCGUCGUGUAGCGGUGAAAUGCUUAGAUAUGACGAAGAACCCCGAUUGCGAAGGCAGCUUGCUGCAGCGGAACUGACGCUGAUGCUCGAAAGCGCGGGUAUCGAACAGGAUUAGAUACCCCAGUAGUC